CGCCUGGAACGGUGAGUGGAUGAAAGCUCCGGCGGCAUAGGAUGGGCCUGCGGCGUAUCAGGUUGUAGGGGGUGUAACGUACCCUCUAGCCCUCUACGCGUACGGGUGUUGGGAGACAUAGCCCGGAGAUGGAUUCUGAGACACGAAUCCAGACCCUACGGGGUGCAGCAGGCGCGAAAACUUGGCAAUGCGAGAAAUCGUGACCAGGGAACUCCAAGUGCAUCGGGUAAGACCGGUGCUUUUCUUGACUCUAAAUAGGUCUUGGAAUAAGGGGUGGGUAAGGACGGUGCCAGCCGCCGCGGUAAUACCGGCGCCUCAAGUGGUAGUCGCUUUUAUUGGGCCUAAAACGUCCGUAGCCGGUCUGAUACAUUCGUGGGUAAAUCAACCAGCUCAACUGGUUGAAUUCUGCGAGGACGGUCAGACUUGGGACCGGGAGAGGUGUGGGGUACGCUCAGGGUAGGGGUAAAAUCCUGUCAUCCUGAGCGGACCACCUGUUGCGAAGGCGCCACACUAGAACGGAUCCGACGGUCAGGGACGAAGCCUAGGGGCACGAACCGGAUUAGAUACCCGGGUAGUCCUAGGUGUAAACGCUGUGGACUUGAUGUUGGGGGUGCUCCGAGCACUCUCAGUGUCGAAGCGAAGGUGAUAAGUCCACUGCCUGGGAAGUACGGUCGCAAGGCUGAAACUUAAAGGAAUUGGCGGGGGAGCACCGCAACCUGAGGAUUGUGCGGUUUAAUUGGAGUCAACGCCGGAA
rnacentral:rRNA from 1 species